GCCACCACUACUAUUUACCACCCAUACCCGCAACCCGCGGAUACCCGUCGCUCGUCGGGUAUCCGCCAUCCGUUACCCGUUGGAUACCCGCCACUCUCUACCCGUCGAAUAUCUGUCGAGGCUUCAGAGUUAGGGGCGCUGCUGCUUCUCGGCGUCGACAUCCUGCAAUCAACCAUCCAACAAAUGCAAUAACCCAAUAAAUAAAUCACCACAAAUUUUAGAGAAAAUUCCAACUUCUUGCACACUACUAUUUGCCACCUAUUACCCCGCGACCCGCAGAUACCCCGCUACCCGUCGUAUACCCGCCACCCGUUACCCGUCGACGGAAAUUAUUUGAUGUUAAAAAAAUAUAGAAAUUAUUUCAUAAUAUAUUUAUAAAUUAUAGACAUUUUUUAUUUUAAUUAAUUCAAAAUUGUAAUAAAAUUAGAAUCAUUAUUCCACCCACACAACUCACUUAAAUAAGUAUAACCCUCAUUAUUAUUUUAUUAUUAUUGCAUUUGGACCCAUCACUUAUUUGUAUUUAUAAAGUAUCUAAUCAAUUAACAUAAAUUCUUACGAUAAUUAGUUAUUUAUCUCAAUAAAAUUUAAAUUUGAUUUUAAAAUUAAGUGGCAAUUUUGUAAUCAAUAUAUAAAUUGAAUGUUUAUUUGUAAAUUAUAGUUUUUUUCUUCUAUUUCAGUUAUAUUUAUCUCCUUAUUUUUAAUUUAUAUUUUAAAAAUAUAAAAGUUAUAUUCAUUUAAAGAUUAAAUUUAAAAAAAAAUAAUCUCAUGUCUCCUCUUUUCUUGAAUAAAUCUAUUUUUAAAUAUGUUUUCAUUUAGAAAUAGAAUACAAUAGAUAGAAACCCCUAAAAUUCGAAACUCAAAAUUAACGCCCACAUAUCAUGGUGUAGAUCCGGUGCUGAUACCACUUAAAGAGAAAAAAACGUGCGCAUAGAAUUAAAUGACACUUGCAGUCCAAAAUAUUAGUCGUUGAACCACAUAAUUCCAUUGGUUUCUAAUUUUAAUUGUACAGAGUGUCAGAUAAAAUUUUGAAUAGUAAGAUCAAGUUAAGUGAAAAGAGGUGUACCAGCAGACGAAAAGGAGCGGAUACCGAUACUGAACUGUAGACACCCCAUAAGUAUAGUUAGAAGAAGUGCAGAUGGUAAGAUAUAUUAAUAAUACAGUUUCUAUACCAACCUUUAUCUUAGAAGAAUCACCAUGAAUGCCAUUAACUAAUGGGAAUGAUGUUGGCCUGCAAAAUUUAAUUAGGAGAUUGUGGAAAAGCAAACAUUAGACACUGGAUUUACAUGCUAACUCAAUUUGACUAAUAACACACCAUGAAUAAUAUCAGAUACAACAUUCAGUAAGUUCUUUUCUUCUUUUAUUUUAAAAGUCAUUAUUUAAUUACAAGUUGUAAUUAUAGAUUUAAUUCCCAGAAAAGAGCAAAAAAUAUCAGAAAGACCAGAAAUUAUCUUAGAAAUCCAGUACCAGGUAGCAACGGAAGGAUUUUAUUCACCAUUAGUCACCUCACAACUUUCCCUACGCUUACUAUCAAUCACCUACUCUAUCAGCUAUGUACAGAAUACUAUCAAUCACCUAGUUGAUCACCAUUUUCAGCCAAAGCCAUACCAUGGUUUCAGCUGCUCGAAAGGUAAGAUUUAGCCUAACCCCUUCACCAUUCCUUAAUGAGUUCAGCCUGCAAUUGUUUAAACAAAUUACGCGAAUUUUAUUUCAGCAUUUCUUGCUAGCAUAACAGCAACCAAGUAAGCAGGUAAUUCUCAUCAACACUCCUUAUUUUACUUGCUAAGUUUUGAUGUGCAUGAAAUCAGAAAAACUCCACGUAGCCUUUAACACCAAGUUUAGAUUGACAGACAUACAAUACCAAUGCUUAAUGACUUGCGAACCUGCUUGGAAGAUAUCUUCAAUAAUAUCCAAAUCGUAGUAAUGAGCAAGAAGAGUAGAAUGUGCGGCAAUAAGAUUUCUCAUUUAAACUAAUGAAUUUAUAACUAAAAUGUAGGUUAUAAAGUUUCCAUUGUUAAACCUAAACCCUAAGAAUUUGCUGAUUAUUAAUCGAUAGGUAAAUCUUUUCAAAUUUUCACAUUUCUAAAAUUUAGUACUAAUCAUAAUGAAAUAUAAUCUUUCCUAACAUAAUAAUUUUCCAUUGUUAAAUCUAAAUCCUAAAAAUUGGCAGAUUAUUGAUCGAUUGGUAAAUCUUUCCAAAAUUUCAUUAUUCUAAAAUUGAGCACUAAUCAUAGUAGUCAAUCUUUCCUAAUUGAAUACUUACCAUGGAGAGGCGCAGAUCGCUGGCGGCGACUUGGUGACAGGGCAGACGGAGACGACGGUGGCGGAUGGCGGUGGAGGGGAAACGGGAGUGGCGAUGUUAUCACCGAGACGUAUUGCAGCAGUGAUCGGAGCAGAUUUCGUUACCGAGCAGAUCUCUGGCAAAGACUUGGUGACGGGGCGGACGGCGGUGAAGGGGAAAGGGGAGCGGCGAGGUGGCAGAUCGGGGCUGAGCUUGGGGCGAAUCGCCGGAGGCGACAGCCAUGGCUGUCGUGGUCGCCGGAAAUCGCGAAGAGGCAGUGAGGAUUUGGAGAUCUAGGCUUUGUUUGGGAGAGAGGAGAGAGAUUAGGGACUGAGAGAUGGAGAUGGGGGUCGAGAGAGAAUCUGUGGCCAUGGCCGUGGCUCGCCGGCGGCACUUUCCCUGGAGUUUCAGGGGCGGCUUCGAUGGGGUGAGGAAGAGAGGCGUGAGGAAGAGAGGCGUGAGUUUCUUUUUCUUUGAGCAAAAGAGGGGCGUGAGUUGUGUUUUAAAAUUGAGAAUAAAAUAAAUAAAAUAAGUGAUGUGGAAUUAUAUUACACGUCAGCGAUAGAGAAUUGAGCUAGAGGCUCUAGAAUUGCAGGAAUUUUGAAUGGUGAAUUCUUAGACAUGCC
rnacentral:lncRNA from 1 species